ensembl:lncRNA
CGAGAGGGCCCCGGGUGGUCUUUGUGUCCUCACCUUAAAUGGAGUUGCUAUUGUUCAGUGAUCUGAAAGGGCUUUCCCCGGGUGGUUCCUGUUUGCUCCCAAUGACUUCCCUGCUGCAGGGUUGACUGUGGAAGAACAGACGCAGUGCCGCUUGCCCAUGCUCCACCAGGGCAGGAGCAGAACUUGUCAGACCCCACCAAUGGCCAACUUUCCGAGAAGGAUCUCUGCUCCCAGAGAGGGUGUGUCUGCUGUCUGUGGUUGCUCACUAUGUCAGUGACUGGGUGAAGUAUUGUCACCUCAGCCACAUCCUCCAGUCCAGCUUUGUCAGUAGUAAAGACGAC